UUAAAACUAGGAUUAGAUACCCUAUUAUAAAAAUUUAAAUUAAUUUACUAAAAAAUUAAUAGUUAUGUUCUUUAAAUUUAAAAAAUUUGGCGGUAUUUUAGUCUUAUUAGAGGAACCUGUUUAUUAAUUGAUAAUCCACGAUUAAUUUUACUUAUUUUAUUAAUUCAUAUAUCGCUGUCAUGAAUAUAUUAAAAAAUUUAUUUUCUACAUUUAUUAUUAUAANUNAUGUUAAGUCAAGAUGUGGUUUAUAAAUAAGAAUAUAAUGGGUUACAUUAAAUUAUAUUUUUGGAUUUUAAAUGAAAAUUAAAAUGAAAUUGGAUUUAAUAGUAAAUUUAUUUAUUUUGUUAAUAUGAAGAAAGAUCUAAAAUAUGUACAUAUUGCCCGUCAUUCUUAUUAAAAAUAAGACAAGUCGUAACAAAGUAAAUGUACUGGAAAGUGUAUUUAGAAAGAUUAUAUAAA
rnacentral:rRNA from 1 species